GGACGGGUGAGUAACACGUGGGUAACCUGCCCUUAAGUGGGGGAUAACAUUUGGAAACAGAUGCUAAUACCGCAUAGAUCCAAGAACCGCAUGGUUCUUGGCUGAAAGAUGGCGUAAGCUAUCGCUUUUGGAUGGACCCGCGGCGUAUUAGCUAGUUGGUGAGGUAAUGGCUCACCAAGGCGAUGAUACGUAGCCGAACUGAGAGGUUGAUCGGCCACAUUGGGACUGAGACACGGCCCAAACUCCUACGGGAGGCAGCAGUAGGGAAUCUUCCACAAUGGACGCAAGUCUGAUGGAGCAACGCCGCGUGAGUGAAGAAGGCUUUCGGGUCGUAAAACUCUGUUGUUGGAGAAGAAUGGUCGGCAGAGUAACUGUUGUCGGCGUGAC
rnacentral:rRNA from 2 species